rnacentral:rRNA from 1 species
UACGUAGGGGGCAAGCGUUGUCCGGAUUUAUUGGGCGUAAAGAGCUCGUAGGCGGUUGGGUAAGUCGGGUGUGAAAACUCCAGGCUCAACUUGGAGAUGCCACCCGAUACUGCUCUGACUUGAGUUCGGUAGGGGAGUGGGGAAUUCCUGGUGUAGCGGUGAAAUGCGCAGAUAUCAGGAGGAACACCGGUGGCGAAGGCGCCACUCUGGGCCGAAACUGACGCUGAGGAGCGAAAGCGUGGGUAGCAAACAGG